rnacentral:rRNA from 1 species
GCCAGCAGCCGCGGUAAUUCCAGCUCCAAUAGCGUAUAUUAAAGUUGUUGCGGUUAAAAAGCUCGUAGUUGGAUUUCUGUUGAGGAUGGGCGGUCCGCACUACGUGCGUGUAUCUGUUACAGCCUCGGCAUCCUCAUGAAGAACAGUGCUGCUCUUAAUUGCGUGGUCUGGAAUUCAUGACUUUUACUUUGAGGAAAUUAGAGUGUUCACUGCAAGCAAUCGCUUUGAAUACAUUAGCAUGGAAUAAUAAUAUAGGACCUUGGUACUAUUUUGUUGGUUUCUAGAACUAAGGUAAUGAUUAAUAGGGACAAUUGGGGGCAUUCGUACUGACGCGUUAGAGGUCAAAUUCUUGGAUCGCGUCAUGACGAACUACUGCGAAAGCAUUUGCCUGGGAUGUUUUCAUUGAUCAAGAACGAAAGUUAGGGGAUCGAAGACGAUCAGAUACCGUCGUAGUCCUAACCAUAAACUAUGCCAACUAGGGAUGGGGCGUCGUCCAUUCACGACUCGUUCCGCACCUUAUGAGAUAUCAAAGUUUUUGGGUUCCGGGGGGAGUAUGGCCGCAAGGCUGAAACUUAAAGGAAUUGACGGAAGGGCACCACCAGGAGUGGAGCCUGCGGCUUAAUUUGACUCAACACGGGGAAACUCACCAGGUCCAGACAUAAUAAGGAUUGACAGAUUGAUAGCUCUUUCUUGAUUUUAUGGGUGGUGGUGCAUGGCCGUUCUUAGUUCGUGGAGUGAUUUGUCAGGUUAAUUCCGUUAACGAACGAGACCUUAACCUGCUAAAUAGGAGCGCAUUUCUUCGGAAACGCGUUAUUCUUCUUAGAGGGACUCUAUGGCGUUUCUAGCCUAGGGAAGUUUGAGGCUAAAACAGGUCUGUGAU